GGCCCGUUAGCUCAGUUGGUUAGAGUGUGGUGCUAAUAACGCCAAGGUCGUGGGUUCGAUCCCCUCACAAGCCA
rnacentral:tRNA from 1 species